GGGGGAUUAGCUCAGUUGGCUAGAGCACUUGCCUGGCAGGCAAGGGGUCGCGGGUUCAAGUCCCGCAUUCUCCACAA
rnacentral:tRNA from 2 species